rnacentral:tRNA from 1 species
GGAGGUGUAGCUGAGUGGUAGAGUGUAUGCUUAGUGAGACCUGGGUUCAAUCCACAGCACCACCU